AGCCAAUUCACCAGAGUGGCACAAUUAAAAUCUUUGGGCCAAAUCCUCCUUGUUCUCUUCAUGUAUGCAACGCUUUUGAGAGUAAAGGGAUGAGUGAGAGCAGCGUUUAAGCUGUACAUUAAUAAUGUAUGUCCUUCGGAUGGCAGGGAAGGGGCUGGCAGAACAAAUGGAAGCACCCUGGGAGAUGAAACUGUCCGCGGCCAGAAUUGUUCUAUCUGGCUCUCACAUGCCAGGAGCAUUCAUCAUGACCUGCAGCAUCCACUCCUCCCUGGUGGUCCCCUCUGGAGCUGCCCUGACAAAUGAAGCCAGAAACUCCUAUGUUAGUGCUGAAGGUUGUCACAGGCAGAGUCACUUUUCUGGACUUUACCACUCUAAGAUUUGGCCAGAUUCUUCGAAUCUCACAGCCCUGCGCUUGCUGAGCCGUCCCCAGGAAGAAGUGGCUCAAAAUGUCAAGGACCAGGCAUGAACCCACCACACUGCUCCUGUGUGGGUUUGGUGGCUCUCUUCAGCUCCAGCUCCAUGGCCAUGGAUCUGAUACUGGCUCCUGUCUCUCCCCUAAUGCUGGAUGGCCCUUGGGCUUCCCCCAGGAUAGAAAGGAAAGCAUCACUCUGUGCCCUAAGAAUCGUAGAAUCAUUUAGUUUGGAAAAGAUCAGUAAGAUCAUUUAGUCCCACCGUGAGCCCAUACCCACCAUGCUCACUAACCCAUGUCCCUCACUGCCAUAUCUACACGUCUCUUGAUCAUUGGAGAGGGAUAGUGGCUCCA
ensembl:lncRNA